AUUUUUUUUAUAAAAAAAAUCAAUUAUCUUUUAUUUUGCCGAAACUAUUCUUCUCAUAUGGGCUAACUUCAAAUACCACUCUAGUGGUUUCGCACUUUCUCACUUUCGUACUCUAUAAUUUAAAGUAUAUUAAAUUAGUAUCCUGUGAUUUCAUUUUUAUCUUUUCGUCAGUUUCUCCGUUAAUAUUUUGUUAAAUUAUGUACAAAAAACUUCAGAUAUCUCAACCAGAUUUAUCGAAUUUUUACUUUAGUACCCUUUAGUUUUAACUUUGUCAUUGAUUUAACGAAAAAAAUUAGUGAAAUUGAUAAUAAAAAAAUAAAAAUGAAACCAUAUGGCACUAAAUUGAUACACUUUAAACCACAGGGUACUAAAGUGAGAAAGUGUAAAACCAUAGAAAUGGUAUUUGAAGUUUUCCCUUCUUAUAUUAAAGGUUUGAUUUUCUUCUUAAAAUUUAGGGGCAAUUGCUUAUAUAUUCCUGAAAAGUUUCCUACUUUCUGAUUUACCCCUCUUAGAAGGUUAAUAUUGAAAAUACCCUUUCUACGUUCCAACCUAUUUCUAAUAUAUCCUUAGAGUUAAAAUCUGUUAAUUAACCUGUUAUCUCUGUAAAAUUAUUAUUUUGCUCUUUCAAAUAUACCCUUUCACCAUCACUGACUUUCUUAUUUGCCCAUAAAGUCAUGGGCAUAAAAAGUAUUUUGACUUUUGGUCUUUUCCAAUAUACCCUCCUAUCGUCACCAACAUUUCUUAUUUGCCCUUAAGUUAAGGGCAAAAUUGGUAUUUUAAUUUUUUUUUAACUGUGGUAGAUAUUUAACUCAUGUUUAACCGAAGCUAAGUUAACAGAAGAUAACUGCGGGGGUAUUUUACAAUAACGGUGGAACAUAUGAGGAUUAUUUAAAAAAAAUAUAAUAAAUAAUUUGAAUAUUUUUAAACGUAUGAGAGGUAUAUAGUCAAUUAUCCCGAAAAUUUAUCAUAAGCGGACCGAACCAGUACACGAGCAUCUGUAUAAAUAUGUAAC
rnacentral:lncRNA from 1 species